UAAUUAUUGUUUUGCAAGAGCUGAAGUUUGUGUUGGCCAUCACCUUUGGCGGUCAAUUCUGCAAUGCCCCUUACAUCAUGUUUUACCACCAUGAAAAAAAAAAUAAGCUCUAGUAAAAUUAUCAGAGAAAAUCCUUUUACUUUUAAAGAUUAUUUAAAUUUCAAUAAAAGUUAUUUGUAAAUACAACCAAGAACGAACUUGCAUUGGAUACUUUACUAAAGUCAUUGUGACAUGUUUAUAGUCCAUUUCAAAAUAGACAUGCAUUAUUAAAAAUUGAGUUAUCUUUCUUUGUGCCUGAUUUUUUUUGUAAUUUUCACUUUAUCAUUUUUACAGGGUUUCCUCAGCAGACAGAAACAAGUGAGAGUAGAUCAACACAGUUCAGUAUACAAGAAAGCUCAUCAUCUGAUCAAAUAUAUACUGCUGAACCUGUCAGCUCACCCAUUCCAGCACAGAUUGCUGUCUCAGGAUGCCAGACAGCUGAUGAACCACCAUCUUCUGUGGAGAGUAUCUGGAUUAGAAGACUGGAGCAGGUUCAUCAGAGAAAUGAAGAAACACCUUAUACUGAACAUGCCAACCUA